GACGAACGCUGGCGGCGUGCUUAACACAUGCAAGUCGAACGGAAAGGCCCUUCGGGGUACUUGAGUGGCGAACGGGUGAGUAACACGUGGGUGAUCUGCCCUGCACUUUGGGAUAAGCCUGGGAAACUGGGUCUAAUACCGGAUAGGACCACGGCAUUCAUGUGCUGUGGUGGAAAGCUUUUGCGGUGUGGGGUGGGCCCGCGGCCUAUCAGCUUGUUGGUGGGGUAAUGGCCUACCAAGGCGACGACGGGUAGCCGGCCUGAGAGGGUGACCGUCCACACUGGGACUGAGAUACGGCCCAGACUCCUACGGGAGGCAGCAGUGGGGAAUAUUGCACAAUGGGCGCAAGCCUGAUGCAGCGACGCCGCGUGAGGGAUGACGGCCUUCGGGUUGUAAACCUCUUUCGCCAGGGACGAAGCGCAAGUGACGGUACCUGGAGAAGAAGGACCGGCCAACUACGUG
rnacentral:rRNA from 1 species